rnacentral:misc_RNA from 1 species
AAGUCGUAACAAGGUUUCCGUAGGUGAACCUGCGGAAGGAUCAUUAACGAGUAACUGAACGGGUUGUAGCUGGCCUCUCGGGGCAUGUGCACACCUGGCUCAUCCACUCUUCAACCUCUGUGCACUUGUUGUAGGUCGGCGGAAGGGCGAGUCUCUUAAAAACAGGCUCGCUUGGAAGCCUUCCCAUGUUUUACCACAAACGCUUCAGUUUAAGAAUGUAACCUGCGUAUAACGCAUUUAUAUACAACUUUCAGCAACGGAUCUCUUGGCUCUC